rnacentral:lncRNA from 13 species
CAAGCCCUUAAGCUUUUUUCCUGGAAAAUACACAAGCUCCCCAAGCGUUUUUUGGGAAAAAACACGUCAUAGGUUCUACUGCGACUUGUGUUUCUUUCUCCCAGGCAUGCCCUCAACCUCGGCAAAAUAAACUUCUGAUUGAUUGAGAUCCGCUUCCAUCACUUUUUGGUCUACUGAAGGAGCAACACACCUGUCCAUCAAUAGGACUAGAGGACAGUCUAGCACAGAACUGUUUGGAUUAUGGAGUAGAUGCCUUCAGUUUCCUGUCGACAACCUUCAGAUCUUAUCAUUUCUGUGUCCACUGGCCUACUUUCAGCUGCACGUAUCUGCAUCACUUCGCUGGAGAAUGUUCUCCAAAGCUGCUGAUGUCCUUACUGCUUCACUGCCCAUGUACAUGGUGGUCUGAAAAUGACAAGAAAAGAAUGCCCAUAAAGAAAGGCCUCAAUCAAUGAUUGAAGGAAUUGGCAUGUAAUAAAUGUCUUGCUCCUCAAUUGGGGUAACUCUUG